rnacentral:rRNA from 1 species
CAGGCCUAACACAUGCAAGUCGAACGGUCCUGAACUUGUUUAGGAUAGUGGCGCACGGGUGCGUAACGCGUGGGAAUCUGCCCUUUGGUUCGGAAUAACGUCGGGAAACUGACGCUAAUACCGGAUGAUGUCGAUAAGACCAAAGAUUUAUCGCCGGAGGAUGAGCCCGCGUAGGAUUAGCUAGUUGGUGAGGUAAAGGCUUACCAAGGCGACGAUCCUUAGCUGGUCUGAGAGGAUGAUCAGCCACACUGGGACUGAGACACGGCCCAGACUCCUACGGGAGGCAGCAGUGGGGAAUAUUGGACAAUGGGCGAAAGCCUGAUCCAGCAAUGCCGCGUGAGUGAUGAAGGCCUUAGGGUUGUAAACCUCUUUUAGCAGGGAAGAAGCGAAAGUGACGG